rnacentral:sRNA from 2 species
GUUCUGAAUAACAAAGCAUAAAAAAGCUGUACUCUGCAAGUUAGCCCCUCAUUCGCUCAGGCUGAGGGGCUUUUUU